GAUGAACGCUGGCGGCAUGCCUAACACAUGCAAGUCGAGCGAAUAGACGAGGAGUUUUCUCCUCUGACGUUGGCGGCGGAUGGGUGAUUAACACGUGUAUACCCUAUCUAUAAGACUGGGAUCAUUUCGCGGAACCUGAUCUACUACCGGAUAAUAUAUCGCACCUCAUGGUUCAUUAGUGCUAGACGGUUUUGCUGUCACUUAUAGAUGGAUCCACGCCGGAUUAGUAAGUUGGUAAGGUAACGGCUUACCAAGGCAACGAUGCGUAGCUGAUCUGAGAGGGUGAUCAGCCACACUGGAACUGAGACACGGUCCAGACGCCUACGGGAGGCAGCAGUCGGGAAUCUUCCGCAAUGGGCGAAAGCCUGAUCCAGCAACGCCGCGUGAGUGAUGAAGGUCUUCUGAUCGUAAAGCUCUGUUAGUUGGGAGGAAGAAAAGUGUAUUUACCCAUGCUCGUCUUGACGGUACCUAAACAGUAAGCCCCGGCUAACUUCGUG
rnacentral:rRNA from 1 species